CAGCAGCCACGGGAAUACGGAGGGCGCGAGCGUUACCCGGAUUUACUGGGCGUAAAGGGCGUGUAGGCGGCCUGGGGCGUCCCAUGUGAAAGGCCACGGCUCAACCGUGGAGGAGCGUGGGAUACGCUCAGGCUAGAGGGUGGGAGAGGGUGGUGGAAUUCCCGGAGUAGCGGUGAAAUGCGCAGAUACCGGGAGGAACGCCGAUGGCGAAGGCAGCCACCUGGUCCACUUCUGACGCUGAGGCGCGAAAGCGUGGGGAGCAAACCGGAUUAGAUACCCCGGUGUCCCUGUCUCUUAUACC
rnacentral:rRNA from 1 species